rnacentral:lncRNA from 1 species
UUCGCGAUGAGUUAGUCGGGAGAGGGUGUCAUGCCCCGGGGUCCCUUUUUGGAUUUAAAAUCAAUGCGGAAGUGCAAAUUUUUUUUUUCUUUUGAAAAUCUUGACCCCAGAGGAUGUCAGAUCUGCCACAAAUAUAAGGUAUCCACUGUUCACACUGACAGAGUUUCCCCUGCAUUUACAUGGCGUCACACAAGUACAAGAUACAAUCACAUAGUAUGAACAUCCACAUACAAUCACCAUUCACAUACAUCAUUCACAUCCAUCACAGUUUAUUAUAAAUCCACAUCUAUUAAUUUAAAACGUUUUCUACUCAGAAACUCAUUUUGAAAUACUAAGAAUCAUAAAAACAAAAAAAAACCUUUUUAAAACCGUUUCCCACACUGAAACCUUUUUCUUUAAAAACACGCUAUCACGAAAGGUAAAAAACCGUUUUCAUCUCAUAAGAAAAACCAUAAAUACUUUAUUACAUUAAAAAACCAUAUGAAUUCAAAUAAAGUAAACCAACUGACCCAUAAAGUGUCUAAAUUAUUUAUUUGAAUAAGCAAUGAUAGAAACUAGACCGAAUGUCACCGGGCCAGAAACUCUAUCGACCGCAAUACCUAAAAAUGGUAGGGGGGUGAGAACAUGUACACAUGUCUCCCCUCCCAGUGGGUACUGCAAGCUGACGAAGGUGAGGAGUACUUACCGGUACAAGAAGAGAUAAUCAAAGUCAUGAGCAUAUAACAC